rnacentral:rRNA from 1 species
AACGAACGCUGGCGGCAGGCUUAACACAUGCAAGUCGAACGGAUCCUUCGGGAUUAGUGGCAGACGGGUGAGUAACGCGUGGGAACGUACCCUUUGCUACGGAAUAACUCAGGGAAACUUGAGCUAAUACCGUAUGUGCCCUACGGGGGAAAGAUUUAUCGGCAAAGGAUCGGCCCACGUUGGAUUAGCUAGUUGGUGGGGUAAUGGCCUACCAAGGCGACGAUCCAUAGCUGGUCUGAGAGGAUGAUCAGCCACACUGGGACUGAGACACGGCCCAGACUCCUACGGGAGGCAGCAGUGGGGAAUAUUGGACAAUGGGCGCAAGCCUGAUCCAGCCAUGCCGCGUGAGUGAUGAAGGUCUUAGGAUUGUAAAGCUCUUUCACCGGUGAAGAUAAUGACGGUAGCCGGAGAAGAAGCCCCGGCUAACUUCGUG